rnacentral:lncRNA from 1 species
GCUGGGCCAGAGGAAAGCAGUGAUGACUUCCACCAGAGCAAUCCCAACACUUUGCUUGGCUUGUUUUUCUUGGCACCGAGGUUACAGUUUUUGACACCAGGGGAUUUGAGUGAGGCAGGAAAACGUGGUGAAUUUUCACAUCAGAUUUACAGGGCUGGAAGCCAAAACUUAAGCUCUCAAGCAGGACUCUUGCAAAUCACCUACUGUAGAUGAAAUAGGAGGUUCCCACAAAACCACAGGAGAGCAAGAUCAGUCUGUAUGGCAAUGACUUCCAGUUCUCUACAAGGACACUGAAGCUCUUCUAUGAAAAUAUUGAUGAGAAGAUGAAGGCCCCCAAAGAAAUCACCUCUUCAAGUUGUCCAGGGCUUGAGACUGGAGAGCAACCAAUCACUGUCUGGCUGUUUCCUCUGCACUGAGGCUGUCACUGCAGCGUUCUGUUUAACUGCUGGAUUUGUAUUUUCUUCAUGUAUCCAAUUGCUUGCAGAUGAGUGGAAUGCUUUAAGUAUAUCAAUCCUGAGAUGCCAGCACAACCUGCCAUGGCCUUCAGAACAUUGACCCCGCAGACUGACCACCUCCCCAUGCCCAGAGGCUUGCAUUGAAAUCCUGCAAUCUGACUCCAUGGAAGGGAAGCCUGAGCCCCAGAACCACUGAAGACGAACCCCACGGAGAGGUAGAAGAGUCCCACUGGCUGCUGGG